rnacentral:rRNA from 1 species
CCUACGGGUGGCAGCAGUGGGGAAUAUUGGACAAUGGGCGAAAGCCUGAUCCAGCCAUGCCGCGUGUGUGAAGAAGGCCUUCGGGUUGUAAAGCACUUUCAGUGGGGAAGAAAGCCUUGGGGCUAAUACCCUCGAGGAAGGACAUCACCCACAGAAGAAGCACCGGCUAACUCCGUGCCAGCAGCCGCGGUAAUACGGAGGGUGCGAGCGUUAAUCGGAAUUACUGGGCGUAAAGCGCGCGUAGGCGGUCUGAUAAGCCGGUUGUGAAAGCCCCGGGCUCAACCUGGGAACGGCAUCCGGAACUGUCAGGCUAGAGUGCAGGAGAGGAAGGUAGAAUUCCCGGUGUAGCGGUGAAAUGCGUAGAGAUCGGGAGGAAUACCAGCGGCGAAGGCGGCCUUCUGGACUGACACUGACGCUGAGGUGCGAAAGCGUGGGUAGCAAACAGGAUUAGAUACUCGAGUAGUC